rnacentral:rRNA from 1 species
UACGAAGGGGGCUAGCGUUGCUCGGAAUUACUGGGCGUAAAGCGCACGUAGGCGGCUUUCUAAGUCGGGGUGAAAUCCUGGAGCUCAACUCCAGAACUGCCUUCGAUACUGGAGCUUGAGUCGGAGAGGUGAGUGGAACUGCGAGUGUAGAGGUGAAAUUCGUAGAUAUUCGCAAGAACACCAGUGGCGAAGGCGGCUCACUGGCCGGUACUGACGCUGAGGUGCGAAAGCG